rnacentral:misc_RNA from 1 species
CCUUCUUGGAACUUUUGUUAAAGAAAGAUCCAGAGCUGGCCGUGCCACUGGCCCGGCCGAAAAGAAACGUUGCGGACGAAGCGAACUACAUCGGGACGCUUUGGCCGCCGAGCGAAAAUAUAUCAUUGA